rnacentral:rRNA from 1 species
AUUGAACGCUGGCGGCAGGCUUAACACAUGCAAGUCGAGCGGAGAUGAGGUGCUUGCACCUUAUCUUAGCGGCGGACGGGUGAGUAACGCUUAGGAAUCUGCCUAUUAGUGGGGGACAACAUUCCGAAAGGAAUGCUAAUACCGCAUACGUCCUACGGGAGAAAGCAGGGGAUCUUCGGACCUUGCGCUAAUAGAUGAGCCUAAGUCGGAUUAGCUAGUUGGUGGGGUAAAGGCCUACCAAGGCGACGAUCUGUAGCGGGUCUGAGAGGAUGAUCCGCAACACUGGGACUGAGACACGGCCCAGACUCCUACGGGGGGCAGCAGUGGGGAAUAUUGGACAAUGGGGGGAACCCUGAUCCAGCCAUGCCGCGUGUGUGAAGAAGGCCUUAUGGUUGUAAAGCACUUUAAGCGAGGAGGAGGCUACUGAGACUAAUACUCUUGGAUAGUGGACGUUACUCGCAGAAUAAGCACCGGCUAACUCUGUGCCAGCCGCCGCCGUAACAC